UCAAAAGUCAGUCGGGAGCCCUAGUGGCUGCCCGUCUACACCCAAGUCUUUGUGUACUCAUUGUUUCCUCGGCGGCGUAAGUCGCCGAAUGGACAAACUAAAACCUUUUUGUAAUUGCAAUCAGCGUCAUUAAAUAUAAUAAUAUUUA
rnacentral:misc_RNA from 1 species